rnacentral:lncRNA from 1 species
UUACAGGCAUGAGCCACCGCGCCCGGCCUAGAUUUUAUAACUCCUUCAACUUUGUGUUUUCAGUCAGAAAGAGUCAGCUAUGCUGUAGAAUCUGGUCACAAAGAGGUAGUGGUUGCAGUUUUAAAAACAUUGUGUGCACCAGCAUUGAAAUCAUCUGCAGAAGGGAUGCAAUGCAUGCUACAGGAGAGCCUGCAACAUGGGGUACCUAGCAGCGACCCUACUCCUCUGUCUUGCUGCCUCCUCCAGGGACCUGGAAGGCUGGCCCAGGGGUUCUGGGACUUUACCCCAAUCUGAUUUGGUUUGCUUACAGCCUCCUUGACUGGUGAGUGCUGCUGCAAUUGGAGCUACUGACCCUUUGUGGAUUUAAUAUAAUUUUUGCUUACCUACAUGUAGGGGCCUUUAGAGUUUUUAAAAUGCUCUCACAGAUAUGACUAUAACCGCUCAUUUUAUGGAGAGGGAAACUGACUCUCAGCAAUGGAAACAUCUCAUCCACAUUUACAAGGCUGAGAAGUGGAGGCUUGUGGCAACAGAGACUCAGGUUUCUGAAUCCUGCUUUAUAACACAUGUGGAUGUUCAAUGCACCUGUGUUACGUACGAGAAGGAAGAGCCCACAGAAUGGGCUGUUCCAUGUGUGUUUUAUGCUUUGUGAACGGGAAGCAAAGAGCACCAGGGAGGCUGGUUGCACCAGAGUGCCUUGACUCUGGCGCUGGCGCUGGCGCCUUGACGGCAGGCGGUGAGAUGCCUGGAGGAGACAUAGACUCUUUCAAAGUGGAGAAAGAGCCCUUUGGAUAACCUAGGUCAGGGAAGCUGGUGGUUUUGUUCUGAAGAGAAGGCUGCAGAUGCAUUGUCUAUGGUCAGAAGUGUCUGUUGGCCUGUCUCUGGGUGAAACUCCAGCUUCGGGACAUGACAGCACGUGGAACAAUGGCGAGGGAUCAGCUUCCCUCUUGGAAAUCAGAUGACCACGGAAUGCCAUAGGUCCGCCAAGCAUCAGAACUUCAUCAGCGUGGCACAGAGGCUCGCGAGCUGAAUUGCCUUUGCAAAGUGUGCUCUGCACGCAUGAUUUUAAACAGCCUGGCCUGCUCCUUUUAUCCUGUCAUGAAUAUUUAUGUUCCUGUUUUGUUCGGAUGGGACAGCCUCAGGCAAAGCAUGAUUCAGAUGGCGCUGGUGGCAGGCAAGGGCUUCACGGGACAGCUAAUUGUCUUCUCAGGAUUGCUGAGAGCAGGAAGGGGUGGUGCUGACCGUGCUGGUGCUGGAGCUGGGAGAGCAGGCGUCUGGAUUUCGGCUCCCCUUAUGGAGUCAGUUUGAACAAGCUGCUUAACUCCUUCAAGCCACCAUUUCCUCAUCUGCAAUGUGGAGACAAUAAUAGCACUGUAUACCUACCUCACAUAGGCAAUCUUUCAUGGCGUGCCGUGAGUUCACUGAAGUCUGUCUCAGCACACACUCACACAUGCACGCUCAUACCCGUGCUGAGUGAAUCCAGUUAAUUCCCAGAGAACUGCAAAUAAAGUGUCAGCACUUUAGGAUGCUGCAUCAAAUACCAUUCUACAAAAGAGGAGAGCUUCAGCCAGUUCUCUUCACCACUUCCAAAGCGAGGAUGAAAAUUCCACCUGCUCGUCAAAACUCAGCCAGAGCUCAGCCUCCCUCCAAUGAGAAAAUGUCCCCUGUGCUACAAGCUGAAGCCACAAAGACCAGUGUCAACGGAGGAGACCCUAGUGCCCACAAAUAAAGCCCAGCACUGUACAUCCACGUAAAGUCCUGUGAAGUCAGAAGUAAGGGAGAAAUUAAGGAUUUAGUAGGGUCCCACAAAGUCUUUGGAACCAGAUCUGAUUGUUUCCUUUAGUUAAAUUCACUCAAACAUGCAAGCAUUUGUAUAAACAUCAAUGUUUUUUUCAGUGAUUCUGUGGGAUUCCUAAAAUGUGCAUCUCUUUAGUCUAAGAUGAAACACUGGUUAUAGGAUGAAAAAAAUUAAACAUGCAUUCUUCAGCUCUCAGACCUCAACCACAAACUGAAGUCCCAGAAAGAGUCAUUAAAUCACAAUGUGUACUUAAAAUAACAAAUUUGAAAUAAAAAAUGUUCCAAGACAUUAAA